CUCUCUCUUUCAUUCUCUCUCUCUCACUCUCUCUCUCUCUCUCUCUCUCUCUCUCUCUCUCUCUCUCUCCUUCGCUGUCUCGCUUUCUUUCUCCGUCUCUCUCUCUUUCAUUCUCUCUCUCUCACUCUCUCUCUCUCUCUCUCUCUCUCUCUCUCUCUCUCUCUCUCUCCUUCGCUGUCUCGCUUUCUUUCUCCGUCUCUCUCUUUCAUUCUCUCUCUCUUUCUUUCAUUCUCUCUCUCUCUGUCUCUCUCUCUCUUUCAUUCUCUCUCUCCUACUAAUCACUGUCUAAUCUACCUACUAAGCAUGAGUCCUUUCUGCUUCCUGUGUCCCUGUGUGUGUGUCAUCAUGUUUCUCAGUCUGCUUGUGAAUGUGAAAGGUGAUCAGCAGUGACAGAGGUGGAUAGGACGACCUGUGUUUGAAACCUUGGUGUGUGGGUGUGCCCCCCUACAGGACGAGUCCACCGCUUAACGAGGUGUGUUCACCUGUCCCUGUAGGAGUGCCAGACUGACAAGUGGGUGACAGUGCCGACAGUGAAACACCAUUCACCACAAGGGGGCGUGUGACCUGAACAGACAUACUGUAAAGAAUAUUCCUCCUCAGUACAGUAGUUCAGCCUCACAAUUCCAUUUCCUCACUCAAGAUCAACUAAUCAUCGGUGCUUCCAAGGCAGAGAAAGACCAAGGAUGGUGUCUACGGGAGAACAAGAGAUCUACAGUAUAUGCUGAUUCUCAAGAUCUUGCACACUAAUGAGAUGCCAUUGAGCCCACACUACUACACUGUCUGAGCCAAGGACGACAUGCUUUAUGGAAAAUGCCACGGGCACUAUCUGAUGUGUGGAGACAUUUCACUGCAGCUAAUGUAUAAGGAAAAGCUGUGUAUAUUUGCAAAUACUGUUCCAAAUCAUAUGUGAAGAACGCAACAAAGAUGCAGAAUCAUCUGGCCAAGUGCAUAAAGUUCCCUCAGUGCUCACAACAAGCAACCUCUGACAAAAGUCCCUCUACUUCUAUUCGAGGUGAAAAUGAUGAAUCAGACACCUUAUCGAUAGCAACAACUCAUGGUCUUCCUGGAAUCAGAAGUUUUUUUGACUCAAUAGAGGAACGCAGUCAGAGAAAUGCUGAUGAAUAUCUUGCUCGAGCUGUGUAUGCAACUGGUUCACACCUGAUGCUCCCAGGCAAUGUGUAUUGGAAGACAUUUCUGGAUGUUCUUCACCCAGCAUACACCCCUCCAACCAGACAUGCUUUAUCUACUCAUUUGCUGGAUGCAGAGUUCAACAGCGUUCAAGUGAAGGUCAAGCAAAUCAUAGAGAAAGCAGACUGUAUUGCAAUCAUCUCUGAUGGGUGGUCAAAUGUUCAUGGGCAAGGAAUAAUUAACUACAUCUCCACCCCUCAACCAGUUUUCUACAAUAGCACAGACACAAGGGACAACAGACACACCGGUCACUACAUUGCAGAUGAGCUGAAGGCAGUCAUCAAUGACCUUGGACCACAGAAGGUAUUUGCACUGGUGACAGACAAUGCUGCGAACAUGAAGGCUGCUUGAUCUAAAGUGGAGGAGUCUUACCCUCACACCCAUUGGCUGUGCUGCACAUGCAUUGAAUCUGCUCCUCAAAGACAUCAUGGCACUGAAAACAAUGGAUACACUACAAGAGAGCCAAGGAUAUGGUUAGGUAUGUGAAGGAUCAUCAAGUUAUAGCAGCAAUCUACCUCACCAAGCAAAGUGAGAAGAAUAAGAGCACCACAUUGAAGCUGCCCAGCAACACCCGUUGGGGUGGUGUUGUCAUCAUGUUUGACAGUCUCCUGGAGGGGAAGGAGUCUCUCCAAGAAAUGGCCAUAUCACAGUCUGCUGAUAUGGACAGCCCCAUCAUGAGGAUCCUCCUGGAUGAUGUAUUUUGGGAGAGAGUGGAAAACAGCCUGAAACCUAUAGCAGUAGCCAUUGCACGGAUUGAGGGAGACAAUGCCAUC
rnacentral:lncRNA from 1 species